UGAAGAUUUGGAGAUAUUGCAUGAAAAUCCAAGUAAGACUGAUGAAAUGAAAAAGUCAUACAACAUAUUGUCUACUUUGGUAGACAAUAGCAUCACUACAAAGGAUGGAAUUGUUGACUAUGGAAAGAGUCGUCUCUAACUGACCCCAGCAAGCUGAUCGACCGUAUUUCUCCAUGGUUAUAAUGUCCUGCUCAGGGCCAGAGCAUCCCCAGCUGGACCCAGACCUACCAGGCUGCUACUGCAUUAGGAAUUUCCUGACUCUCUCUGAAUCAUGUAGUACCAUGAUGAUGAAGACUUUGACUCCAUGGUGACAAAGAGUUCAAUGGAUGGGAUUGAAGAGACAAAUGACCUCAAUCAGUUCAAACUACCAAUCAAGACUCCCAAAUUUUAAGUUGACUUUUCUGUUUUGUCCCCUCUUCCAUGUACUCCGUAAGCUGCUAUGGCAGUAACUGAUAGCAUAGAGUAAUUCCUCUAUCCUGGCUCUGCAGAAUUGUAGUUGCUAAUAUA